AUUUUAUAUCUUGUAGUGCUUUUGGGUUUAUGACUUUGUUUGCUGAUUGGAACUCUUAUCGAGGGGGGAGCCCGUGGAGGUGGAGUCGGCGCCAAGCAGCCAACAACAAAAAAUUAGUUUUGGACACAUUUGAGAGCCAAAAUGAGUCAAAAGAGUGCUGAUGCGUGGCAAAGACCAGACAGGCGGAGAAGGAAGCGAGAAGAGGGCCCAGCCGAAGUUGAGGCACAGCACCGAGUAGAAGAAGCAGACGGCCAGCAGCAGAGGGCAGAAUGAAAUUCGAAAAAGGGGAGAAAUGAGAAAUGACAGACACGUCCGUUUUACACCCUCGCCGGAGCUGCCAGCAGAGUCAGGCCGCCGCAGCCAGCGUCGCCAAUUCCUGCGGCACGUACACACAACACACAUAUGCAUGUACAUCCAUAUGUAUAUAAACGACAGCGAAGUACAGUGAAUUUUAAAUAUGCACAUAUGCAGGCCCACUCAUCCGUCUGCUACAUUUUUCAUUUUAAGAUGGGUUUUUUUUUUUUUUUUGCGAUAACAAAUUCGAAAUUGGUGACAGAAUAGCCACUGCAUGCGCCGCUGCCACGCCCCACAAACAGAGACACACAUGUGCAUGUGCAUGACUUGCGCGCAAGCCGUAGUUUUCGUGGGGAGGAUAUUAAGCAGCGUCAAAUGCGCCCCGCCCAAAGCAGCAGACACAUACAAGCAGACGUAUAUAAAAAUGAAGUUAAAAAAAUGCCGGCCGGCUCGCUCAGAUUUCUUUUGGCCUGUGCCUGCCACAAUGGAUGGCGAAUUGAAAAGAAAUUGCCGGCCAACAAUUUAAGGGGAGGCGGACGGUGGGUGUGGAUGCGAAAUAAAAUAAAUAAAAUUGUAUGCUCACCUUAA